rnacentral:tRNA from 1 species
GCCCCUGUGGUGGAAUGGUAGACGCGGCGGACUCAAAAUCCGUUGCCUUCGGGCGUGCUGGUUCAAGUCCGGCCAGGGGCACCA